rnacentral:rRNA from 1 species
GACGAGGAUGCAAGCGUUGUCCGGAUUUAUUGGGUUUAAAGGGUGCGUAGGCGGCCCUGUAAGUCAGUGGUGAAAUACUGCAGCUUAACUGUAGCAUUGCCAUUGAUACUGCAGGGCUUGAGUACAGAUGAGGUAGGCGGAAUUGAUGGUGUAGCGGUGAAAUGCAUAGAUACCAUCAAGAACACCGAUUGCGAAGGCAGCUUACUAAGCUGUAACUGACGCUGAGGCACGAAAAGCGUGGGGAUCGAACAGG